rnacentral:rRNA from 1 species
GAGUUUGAUCAUGACUCAGGACGAACGCUGGCGGCGUGCUUAACACAUGCAAGUCGAGCGGAAAGGCCCUUCGGGGUACUCGAGCGGCGAACGGGUGAGUAACACGUGAGCAACCUGCCCCUGACUCUGGGAUAAGCCCGGGAAACUGGGUCUAAUACCGGAUACGACACACUCUGGCAUCGGAUGUGUGUGGAAAGUUUUUUCGGUUGGGGAUGGGCUCGCGGCCUAUCAGCUUGUUGGUGGGGUAUGGCCUACCAAGGCGACGACGGGUAGCCGGCCUGAGAGGGCGACCGGCCACACUGGGACUGAGACACGGCCCAGACUCCUACGGGAGGCAGCAGUGGGGAAUAUUGCACAAUGGGGGGAACCCUGAUGCAGCGACGCCGCGUGCGGGAUGACGGCCU